rnacentral:rRNA from 1 species
UACGUAGGGUGCGAGCGUUGUCCGGAUUUAUUGGGCGUAAAGAGCUCGUAGGCGGUUUGUCGCGUCGGCCGUGAAAUCUCCACGCUUAACGUGGAGCGUGCGGUCGAUACGGGCAGACUUGAGUUCGGUAGGGGAGACUGGAAUUCCUGGUGUAGCGGUGAAAUGCGCAGAUAUCAGGAGGAACACCGGUGGCGAAGGCGGGUCUCUGGGCCGAUGACUGACGCUGGAGGAGCGAAAGCGUGGGGAGCGAACAGG